AUGGCAGCAGAGGCAAGGCUAGCAGCAUACGCGUCAAAUCACCGAGUUAUCAUUGCCACUACUUUUUCUGGCCUGAAGACAAUCAAAUCUAGGAAACCACCGUGGCGCUAUAAGGGAAAAAAGGCCACGGCCCGGUCUGUUCAGCAGGUUACAACUUGGGGGCUGCUACAUCAGCUUCAAGGCUGCACUGGUCUCCUCUUCAGCUUCGUCGGCCGUGACCCGUUUUUUCCGUUGCAUCUGCCUGCGGCAGAGUCGCUGCCGUCUGCUGCUGAGCCGCCGCUCACCUUUCAGAGCCGAGAGCACAGCAGGGGCGGCCCAGUUUGA
rnacentral:rRNA from 1 species